rnacentral:lncRNA from 1 species
CGCAUGUGUGCGCGAAUAAGUAAAUCCCCCCGAGGGGGACGAACGAAGAAAUUUCGAACAAAUCCCGUUUUGUCUUUUUUUUGCAUCAAAAGCUGCCAGCCGGAAAUCGAAUUGAAACCCGGUGCAUUUUUUCCGCCAUUUUCAAAAAGCGCAUAGUUUCUCCUCCAAAAAGAACUGGUUUGGAAAAGAAAAUUUUACAUGCUUUCUGGGUUGUAUAAUGCUUUAAGGAUGGGACCUCUGAUUGAGCAAGAAAGACGUAGUUUAGUCACCUUAUUGGGCAUAUUACUAAUGCCAUUUGCAUGUUUUUGGAUGCCUUUUAGUCAUCUUGCAUACUAGCGGAUUAUGUGUUUGAAUGCCUUCUAGGUGAACAAUUUAUGCGCCAAAUAUUGACAAAUAUUGAAAGAACUGCACGAACUUCAUUCUUGAGAUUUUUUGACAAUAACAUCAGCAUCAGAAUCUUCAGUUUGUUGAUCUAUUGGUGGAAAUGCAUCUUCUUAAUUGAAGAGGCUGGUUCUGAAGCUCACAAUUGGCAGGAUGGUCCUGGUGUAAUAUUUUCCAAAAUGCAGGGAGAUGUUCUUGGUGACUCAUGGG